GCGGGCGGUUGCUUGUUGGUUGUUGUAGUAACGGGGGAAGCAGCCUUCGGCGGCUGCGUUGAUUCCGGCUGGGGAAGGAGGAGGGAGGUGAAGCUGAGCGUGGUCCCCGCCUGCCGGCCCCGAGCCAUUAGAAGAUGAGACAGGAGUCUGUGCCAUCCAAAUUGUUUGAUCCACUGGGACUGCAAGGAAGAAAGGUCUCUGAGGCCUCUGUCUGCUGACUGUAUGACAGACCCCAAAGGAAAUGCCAGUUGUGAUGGCCCGGGACCUGGAGGAGACAGCAUCAUCCUCAGAGGAUGAGGACCUGGUAAACCAAGAGGAUCACCCAUGUAUUAUGUGGACUGGAGGCUGCAGGAGAAUUCCAGUUUUGGUUUUCCAUGCUGAGGCUAUUUU
rnacentral:lncRNA from 1 species